UAGGGAAUCUUCCACAAUGGACGCAAGUCUGAUGGAGCAACGCCGCGUGAGUGAAGAAGGUUUUCGGACCGUAAAGCUCUGUUGUUGGUGAAGAAGGAUAGAGGUAGUAACUGGCCUUUAUUUGACGGUAAUCAACCAGAAAGUCACGGCUAACUACGUGCCAGCAGCCGCGGUAAUACGUAGGUGGCAAGCGUUGUCCGGAUUUAUUGGGCGUAAAGCGAGCGCAGGCGGAAGAAUAAGUCUGAUGUGAAAGCCCUCGGCUUAACCGAGGAAUUGCAUCGGAAACUGUUUUUCUGAGUGCAGAAGAGGAGAGUAGAACUCCAUGUGUAGCGGUGGAAUGCGUAGAUAUAUGGAAGAAUACCAGUGGCGAAGGCGGCUCUCUGGUCUGCAACUGACGCUGAGGCUCGAAAGCAUGGGUAGCGAACAGGAUUAGAUACCCUGGUAGUCCAUGCCGUAAACGAUGAGUGCUAAGUGUUGGGAGGCUUCCGCCUCUCAGUGCUGCAGCUAACGCAUUAAGCACUCCGCCUGGGGGAGUACGACCGCAAGGUUGAAAC
rnacentral:rRNA from 1 species